rnacentral:rRNA from 1 species
GCAAGUCGAGCGCGAAAUCACUUCGGUGAGAGUAGAGUGGCGGACGGGUGAGUAACGCGUGGGAAUCUACCCUGUAGUGGGGGACAACACGGGGAAACUCGGGCUAAUACCGCAUACGUCCUAGGGGAGAAAGAGGGCCUCUGCUUGCAAGCUCUCGCUAUGGGAUGAGCCCGCGUCCGAUUAGCUAGUUGGUAGGGUAAAGGCCUACCAAGGCGACGAUCGGUAGCUGGUCUGAGAGGAUGACC